UUUUGUAUUUUUUGGUGGAGAUGGGGUUUCUCCACAUUGCCCAGGGUCUCCAAUUCCUGAGCUCAAGCAAUCCGUCUGCCUCGGCCUCCCAAAGUGCUGGGAUUACAGGCAUGAGCUACCGCACCCGGCCUCAUUAUACACUUCUUGAGCUAGAAGACACUUUGCAAAUAAUCAACUUCAUCUCCUUCAUUUUGUGGUUUAGGAAGCUGAGGCCCAGAGAGGGGAAGUCACUAGCCUAUUGUCACUCAAGUGAUUGGGAGUCAAACUGGAGCCAGAACCCAGCCCAAGAAGAAGCCGAAUGCACCCUCUGACCUGGCCACACCCAAGAUCGUGCCUUUUGACCUGCCUGAGACUGAGCCCUUUGACCUGAAGCCUGAGACAGUGCCUGAGCUCCCACCCUUUGACCAGACACCUAGGGCACUGCCGUAUUACCCAGAGCCUGGGCCCCGGCCCACCCCAGAGGAGCCGACAGCCGGUGGGAGUGUUUAGGGUCUCCCGGGUCCCGUUCUGUGGGCGUGGGGUAUCUCUCCAGUCCACUGUCAGCCCACAGCCUGGUGGUGAUCACUGCCAGGAGGGCCACCAUCCCCAGCCACUGCCCACUGUGGACGGGUGCCAGGUACUGUGAGAACACUGGCGUUAUGCAGGGUUCAGGAGAAUGGGGUGUAUACAGUGGGGGUGGGAGGGGAAUGGAAGGGGCCUCCCCACUUCUUGGUUUCUGUUUUUAAUAGUAAAUGCUCCCCCACACUUAAGCUGCACCCGAAGGCUGCCCAGCAUGAAGGCGCAUGGCUUCUGGUUCUGCCGUUCCCCCUGCUGCCUCCUCCUCAGGGACAACCCAGUUUGGGUCAAAGCCUCUUUGGAGAGGGCCAUCAUGAGGCCCAGGCCUGGGGUCUGUUCUGUGCCCUCUCCACCCACGCCCUGCAGCUGAGGAAAACAUUUACACGUAUUUUUUCCAGUUUCUUUUAGAAAAUGCUUUGCAAAGAGAUCACUUAUGUUUGCCAGAUCCUGCCUUGGGUGGGGUGCCCAAAAGCUGCCAACUCACAGAGGCCAGGAGGGGGACAUUCUAGCUGGCUCUGGCUCAGGACCUCUGGCCUUCCUAUAGCAGAGUGUUUCUCAACUUAAAAAAAUAUUUAAAAAAAUUUUUUUUAGAGAUGGGGUCUUACUAUGUUGCCCAGACUGGUUCUGAACUCCUGGGCUCAAGUGAUCCUCCCACCUCAGCUUCCCAAAGUGCUGGGAUUACAGGUGUGAGCCACCUCACUCAGCCAGUUUUUGUUGUUGUUGGUUGUUGUUGUUGUUUUCAUAAUCACUCCCAUAUAGAGACCUUUUAGUUUUGUUUUUUUUUUUUGAGACAUAGUCCUACUCUGUCACUCAGGUUGGAGUGCAGUGGAGUGAUCUCGGCUCACUACAACCUCCGCCUCCUCGGUUCAAGUGAUUCUCCUGCCUCAGCCUCCCAAGUAGCUGGGAUUACAGGCAUGUGCCACCACACCCAGCUAGUUUUUUGUAUUUUUUGGUAGAGACGGGGUUUUGAACUCCUGACUUCAGGUGAUCUGCCCGCGUUGGCCUCCCAAAGUUCUGGGAUUACAGGCGUGAGCCACCGCCCCUGGCCCUUUCAGAUUUUUUUUUUUUUUUUUUUGAGACAGAGUCUCGCUCUGUCACCAGGCUGGAGUACAGUGGCACAAUCUCGGCUCACUGCAGUCUCCGCCUCCCUGGUUCAGCCUCCCGAGUAGCUGGGAUUACAGGCUUGUGCCACCACACCCAGCUAAUUUUUGUAUUUUUAGUAGAGAUGAGGUUUCACCAUGUUGGCCAGAAUGGUCUCGAUCUCCUGACCUCGUAAUCUGCCCACCUCGGCCUCCCAAAAUGCUGGGAUUACAGGCUUGAGCCACCGCACCCGGCCCCUUUCAGAUAUUUUUAACCAAGCUGUUCAUCUCCCUCAUGAAAUGUUAAAGCAAUAGAUAAACUGUGUAUCUGUUUAUGUACUGUGGCUCUUGGGAGUGGCACAAAUCAUUGUGAUAUCUAAGUCCCCUCCCAAUCUCCAAGAAUCAAUUUUCACCCUUUUGGAUGCAAUUUCACCCCUGCCAAGAAUGCACGCUGGAGCAGAAGGGAGCGACACUUCUGCCCUUGGGGUCUCUCAUCUGCUUGUCUUAGCAACCUCUAGCAGAGGUCCUGCAUUUUAAAGACAUUCUCUCCCCUUCACCUCUCCCCUCCUCUGCACCCUCUUCUAACAUACACUCUAAGCAGAUCCUGGGUCUCUGAAUUACCUCUCCAGUCUCCUCCAGCCAUUCCCAGGCAGUGGUUGGGGACCUAGAGCUGGUCAGCCUUAAGUCAGGAGAGCCUCCUACCCAGACCCAUGUGGCACCUGUCCCUUCUUCCUAACAAAUGUGAAGUGCCUGGCCAAGGGCCAGAUGUGUAAUAGGUGUUCAAUGACAUUAUAAUCUUACAAAAGUCUUCCUAAGCCAGAUCUCAAGUUUAGACAGCAGGGUUGAGGGGUGGAGCGGAAGAGGCUGGGAGCCUCCCUGUGGCUCCUCUACAUCCAUUGAGGAUUGAGGAGCUGUGUGUGCUUGGCAAAGGGCAGGGGGAGCUGUACAUGCUUUUGUUCAGACCUGGUCAUUAAAGGUAAUUCUGGAAACCAA